rnacentral:rRNA from 1 species
UACGUAGGCAGCAAGCGUUGUUCGGAGUUACUGGGCGUAAAGGGUGUGUAGGCGGUUUUCUAAGUCUGGUGCGAAAUCUCCCGGCCUCAACUGGGAGGGUGCGGCGGAGACUGGAGUGCUAGAGUGUGGGAGAGGUAAGCGGAAUUCCUGGCGUAGCGGUGAAAUGCGUAGAUAUCUGGAGGAACACCGGUGGCGAAGGCGGCAUCCUGGACCGGUAUUGACGCUGAGGCGCGAAAGCCAGGGGAGCAAACGGG